GAUGAACGCUGGCGGCGUGCCUAACACAUGCAAGUCGAGCGAUUUACUUCGGUAAAGAGCGGCGGACGAGUGAGUAACGCGUGGGUAACCUGCCUCAUACACAUGGAUAACAUACCGAAAGGUAUGCUAAUACAAGAUGAUAUAAGAGAUUCGCAUGGAUUUCUUAUCAAAGCUCCGGCGGUAUGAGAUGGACCCGCGUCUGAUUAGCUAGUAGGUAAGGUAACGGCUUACCAAGGCGACGAUCAGUAGCCGACCUGAGAGGGUGAUCGGCCACAUUGGAACUGAGACACGGUCCAAACUCCUACGGGAGGCAGCAGUGGGGAAUAUUGCACAAUGGGCGAAAGCCUGAUGCAGCAACGCCGCGUGAGCGAUGAAGGCCUUCGGGUCGUAAAGCUCUGUCCUCAAGGAAGAUAAUGACGGUACUUGAGGAGGAAGCCCCGGCUAACUACGUGCCAGCAGCCGCCGUAAUAC
rnacentral:rRNA from 1 species